GACGUAGGGCGCGAGCGUUGUCCGGAUUUAUUGGGCGUAAAGAGCUCGUAGGCGGUGUGUCGCGUCGGCCGUGAAAACCUGCAGCUUAACUGUGGGCUUGCGGUCGAUACGGGCAUCACUGGAGUUCGGCAGGGGAGACUGGAAUUCCUGGUGUAGCGGUGGAAUGCGCAGAUAUCAGGAGGAACACCAAUGGCGAAGGCAGAUCUCUGGGCCGUAACUGACGCUGGAGGAGCGAAAGCAUGGGGAGCGAACAGG
rnacentral:rRNA from 1 species